rnacentral:rRNA from 1 species
AUGAUGUUGCCCGAGGGGCACGGGCUCCAUCCCCAUGAAGACGACAAGAAACGUUUCUUCAACCUGUCCACUGGAGUCUUUGUCCGCCCUCGACUUCCUCUUCUCAGAGACCAGUUCGUCCUCUGCCCAGCAGAUGGCCUGCUCCUCCUCCUACGGCCGUGGCAAUACACCCACGGCAACCGUCUAUGCCUCCUCCACCCCUUCACGGGCGAUGUUGUGGAGCUUCCGGCAAACAUAACUCUCCCAGAAAACUUGGGAGCACGCUUGUUGCCGACCAAUGUGUUUGCCGCUGUGAGCACAAGUCCGGAUGGAGUUCUUGGGGUCAUGAUCGCGUUUUGA